GCUUGACUUCUGCAUGCUGCUGGAUUGGAUUGCUGGAGCUGACUGAUGCCCAAAGGUGGCUAAAGAUUCGCUUUUAUACUUUGCUAGACGGUUAGGACUUCCCCGCUGAUCUUUGAUGGGUGAUUUACUUUUUUUUUCCCGGUGUGCUUACAGUAUUCUUAGUUCCGCUAAGGACCCUGCAGUUCCACCAUUCAUCACUGGUACACAAUCAACACGCAAUCGACUGCGACGACACAGAGUUUUACAGUACUCACUCAAAGGGAAUAUCCACUAUAUCCCUUUAAUAACAAAAAUUUUAAGUGACAACCUAAGCUAGAAGAUUUAUUUGUCUCUUGAACGUGACUUUGGGUGAACUGGAAUCAGUAAAUUUCUUAUCACCUCUGGAGAUGAGCAUCUGGCAGUAAUCCCAUACACAAAUACAUAGGAUUCCCCUUUAGAUGGGAUUCAUAUUAUAGAUUUUUAAUAAGCCGAAGCUAUGUUAAAUAAAGAGAAAAAUGUGGAAAUUUAGCGCAAAUUUAAAAUUACGAAAUUCUUUAACAACUUGUAUUUAAUGUUUUAAAAAUAUCGACAUACCUCUUCUAAUUUAUAAGCUUCACAUACCUUUUAGUGGCAUUGAGCAAUGCGCGGAUCUACGAGGGAUUUGGGGGAUAGAUCCGCCCACUCGGUUGCAAAGUGACUUAAAAUGUGUUAUUGAAAAGGUAUGCAACAUAAAAGUUGUUUGAAAAAAAACUCCCACCAACAAAUCCUGGAUCUGUGACUGCUUAGUCAUACUUUUUUCAUACAAUAGAAUGUUAUUUUUUUACCCUUUCUUUUAUCCAUUUUUCUCUUAUACAAAACAUCUAUAAAUUUGUAAGGAAAUAAGGAGAACCGAUAAAUAGAAAUAUACCCAAAUGGUCUAGUCCUCUUCAAUUAAGGUGAUUUUGAGGUAAUUAGAUAAUUUGUAGGUACUUUUUCUAGGUGUACAGA